rnacentral:rRNA from 1 species
AUUGAACGCUGGCGGCAUGCCUUACACAUGCAAGUCGAACGGUAACAGGUCUUCGGAUGCUGACUAGUGGCGAACGGGUGAGUAAUACAUCGGAACGUGCCCAGACGUGGGGGAUAACGAGGCGAAAGCUUUGCUAAUACCGCAUACGAUCUAAGGAUGAAAGCAGGGGACCGCAAGGCCUUUUGCGUUUGGAGCGGCCGAUGGCAGAUUAGGUAGUUGGUGGGAUAAAAGCUUACCAAGCCGACGAUCUGUAGCUGGUCUGAGAGGACGACCAGCCACACUGGGACUGAGACACGGCCCAGACUCCUACGGGAGGCAGCAGUGGGGAAUUUUGGACAAUGGGCGAAAGCCUGAUCCAGCAAUGCCGCGUGCAGGAUGAAGGCCUUCGGGUUGUAAACUGCUUUUGUACGGAACGAAAAGGCUCUGGCUAAUACCUGGGGCACAUGACGGUACCGUAAGAAUAAGCACCGGCUAACUACGUG